rnacentral:tRNA from 1 species
GAUGGGCUAAAUGGAACUGCUAACUCUUAAAACUGAGCCUAACCGCCCGGACCCAUCCAG